rnacentral:rRNA from 1 species
AUUGAACGCUGGCGGCAGGCCUAACAUAUGCAAGUCGAGCGGAUGAAGGGAGCUUGCUCCUGGAUUCAGCGGCGGACGGGUGAGUAAUGCCUAGGAAUCUGCCUGGUAGUGGGGGAUAACGUCCGGAAACGGGCGCUAAUACCGCAUACGUCCUGAGGGAGAAAGUGGGGGAUCUUCGGACCUCACGCUAUCAUAUGAGCCUAGGUCGGAUUAGCUAGUUGGUGGGGUAAAGGCCUACCAAGGCGACGAUCCGUAACUGGUCUGAGAGGAUGAUCAGUCACACUGGAACUGAGACACGGUCCAGACUCCUACGGGAGGCAGCAGUGGGGAAUAUUGGACAAAGGGCGAAAGCCUGAUCCAGCCAUGCCGCGUGUGUGAAGAAGGUCUUCGGAUUGUAAAGCACUUUAAGUUGGGAGGAAGGGCAGUAAGUUAAUACCUUGCUGUUUUGACGUUACCAACAGAAUAAGCACCAGCUAACUUCGUG